rnacentral:lncRNA from 1 species
AUUUAGUUCUAUUUUCAUUAGCCUAUAGUGAUAUUUUGGUACUAUCUCAUACAUAUAAUAUUUUGAGACUCGAUAAUUUAUGUCACUUACUGACGAUUGAACUUGAGUCAUCUGAUUAUUUUUACUGAUAGCCAAAUACGAUGUUAGUCAUAUCAUACAUCAGUUCUGCAAUAUGAUAAAAAUUCAAUUUGGAACAUCCAUAAAGAAAUCUCAUACCGACAAUGCCAAAGAUUUUUUUCAAUUGCAU